rnacentral:rRNA from 1 species
CCUACGGGAGACAGCAGUGAGGAAUAUUGGUCAAUGGGCGGGAGCCUGAACCAGCCAAGUCGCGUGAGGGAAGACGGUCCUAUGGAUUGUAAACCUCUUUAGGCGGGGAGCAAUGCCGGGCACGUGUGCCCGGAGGGAGAGUACCCGCAGAAUAAGCAUCGGCUAACUCCGUGCCAGCAGCCGCGGUAAUACGGAGGAUGCGAGCGUUAUCCGGAUUUAUUGGGUUUAAAGGGUGCGUAGGCGGAUUUUUAAGUCAGCGGUAAAAUGUCCGGGCUCAACCCGGGCCGGCCGUUGAAACUGGGGAUCUUGAGUGGGCGAGAAGUAUGCGGAAUGCGUGGUGUAGCGGUGAAAUGCAUAGAUAUCACGAGGAACCCCGAUUGCGAAGGCAGCCUGCCGGGGUGCGACUGACGCUGAGGCUCGAAGGUGCGGGUAUCAAACAGGAUUAGAUACCCGAGUAGUC